rnacentral:rRNA from 1 species
UACGUAGGGGGCAAGCGUUGUCCGGAUUUACUGGGCGUAAAGAGCGUGUAGGCGGCCACGCAGGUCCGUUGUGAAAACUGGAGGCUCAACCUCCAGCUGUCGACGGAAACCGUGUGGCUAGAGUCCGGAAGAGGAGAGUGGAAUUCCUGGUGUAGCGGUGAAAUGCGCAGAUAUCAGGAAGAACACCAAUGGCGAAGGCAGCUCUCUGGGCCAUACCUGACGCUGAGACGCGAAAGCGUGGGGAGCAAACAGG